rnacentral:rRNA from 1 species
UCUUUUCCCUGGNAAGAAGAUCUGACGGUACCAGGGGAAUCAGCAUCGGCUAACUUCGUGCCAGCAGCCGCGGUAAUACGAGGGAUGCAAGCGUUAUCCGGAAUUAUUGGGCGUAAAGCGUCCGCAGGUGGCUCUGUAAGUCUGUCGUUAAAGAAUGGGGCUCAACCCCAUACAGGCGAUGGAAACUACAAGGCUAGAGUUUGGUAGGGGUCACGGGAAUUCUUAGUGUAGCGGUGAAAUGCGUAGAUAUUAAGAAGAACACCAGCGGCGAAAGCGCGUGACUGGGCCAGUACUGACACUCAUGGACGAAAGCUAGGGGAGCGAAANGGGAUUAGAUACCCCUGUAGUCCUAGCCGUAAACGAUGAUAACUAGGUGUUGCUCGUAUCGACCCGAGCAGUGCCGUAGCCAACGCGUUAAGUUAUCCGCCU